CCUACGGGAGGCAGCAGUGAGGAAUUUUCCGCAAUGGGCGAAAGCCCGACGGAGCAAUACCGCGUGAGGGAUGAAGGAUUUUGGUCUGUAAACCUCUUUUCUCAAGAAAGAAGUUCUGACGGUACUUGAGGAAUAAGCAUCGGCUAACUCCGUGCCAGCAGCCGCGGUAAUACGGGGGAUGCAAGCGUUAUCCGGAAUGAUUGGGCGUAAAGCGCCUGUAGGUUGUUUAUUAAGUCCGUUGUUAAAGCCUAGGGCUCAACCCUAGAAAAGCAAUGGAAACUAGUAGACUAGAGUAUGGCAGGGGUAGAGGGAAUUUCUAGUGUAGCGGUGAAAUGCGUAGAUAUUAGAAAGAACACCGGUGGCGAAAGCGCUCUACUGGACCAUUACUGACACUCAGAGGCGAAAGCUAGGGUAGCAAAAGGGAUUAGAUACCCCUGUAGUCCUAGCCGUAAACGAUGGAUACUAGAUGUUGUGCAUUAUGUACAGUAUCGUAGCUAACGCGUUAAGUAUCCCGCCUGGGGAGUACGCUCGCAAGGGUGAAACUCAAAGGAAUUGACGG
rnacentral:rRNA from 1 species